AUUGAACGCUGGCGGCAGGCCUAACACAUGCAAGUCGAACGAGUGGCGGACGGGUGAGUAAUGUCUGGGAAACUGCCCGAUGGCGGGGGAUAACUACUGGAAACGGUAGCUAAUACCGCAUACCAUCGAAUGUGCCCAGAUGGGAUUGGCUAGUAGGUGGGGUAACGUCUCACCUAGGCGACGAUCCCUAGCUGGUCUGAGAGGAUGACCAGCCACACUGGAACUGAGACACGGCCCAUACUCCUACGGGAGGCAGCAGUGGGGAAUAGUGCACAAUGGGCGCAAGCCUGAUGCAGCCAUGCCGCGUGUAUGAAGAAGGCCUUCGGGUUGUAAAGUACUUUCAGCGAGGAUGCGUUACUCGCAGAAGAAGCACCGGCGAACUCCGUGCCAGCCGCCGCGGUAAUAC
rnacentral:rRNA from 1 species